rnacentral:rRNA from 1 species
UGAGGCACGAAAGCGUGGGGAGCGAACAGGAUUAGAUACCCUGGUAGUCCACGCCGUAAACUAUGAAUACUGGAUGUGUGCGAUACACUGUACGCGUCUGAGCGAAAGCAUUAGGUAUUCCACCUGGGGAGUACGUCCGCAAGGAUGAAACUCAAAGGAAUUGACGGGGGCCCGCACAAGCGGAGGAACAUGUGGUUUAAUUCGAUGAUACGCGAGGAACCUUACCUGGGCUUAAAUGCAGUAUGACCGUUCUCGAAAGAGAUCUUCCCUUCGGGGCAAAUUGCAAGGUGCUGCAUGGUUGUCGUCAGCUCGUGCCGUGAGGUGUCGGGUUAAGUCCCAUAACGAGCGCAACCCCUACCGUUAGUUGCCAGCGAGUAAUGUCGGGGACUCUAGCGGAACUGCCGGUGUAAACCGCGAGGAAGGUGGGGAUGACGUCAAAUCAGCACGGCCCUUAUGUCCAGGACUACACACGUGUUACAAUGGUCGGUACAGUGGGCAGCUACCCAGCGAUGGGAUGCUAAUCUCCAAAACCGAUCCCAGUUCGGAUUGAAGUCUGCAACUCGACUUCAUGAAGGUGGAUUCGCUAGUAAUCGCAUAUCAGCAACGAUGCGGUGAAUACGUUCCCGGGCCUUGUACACACCGCCCGUCAAGCC